GGUCUAAGGUCCUCACCAUCUCAAGGGCAUGAUUCCAAUGUUGUGGUCGACAACAGUGUUUUCCCCUCAGUUCAGAAUUCAGGAAAAUAACAUGGUACAGGGAAAUGUUUGUGAUUGAGAUUUUAGACACAUGUUCAAGGAUCAAGCAGCAAAACACAUCUCCAAAAACAGGAAAGAACUGACCUGAUAGACAGCAAGGGAGAGGAAGAGAUUAAAGAGGAGAAGGGGCCCAUCAGAGAGGUGGGCAUGGGCUCCGUUAAAGAGGUGGGCAUGGGCCCCAUCAAAGAGGUCAAAUGGAUGAGGCAUGCGACAACAUCAAUGCAGACCAAUGUCAAGCUUGGAUUCGCCAUGCCAAAAAAAAUCAUUCCCGCGGUGCAGGAACGAUAAGGACAUUCACUGUGAUGUGGUUGAGAAUGUGCUGGGUCGGAAUCUGGGUCUGUAGAGGGGAGGAAGAACCACCUGAAGAGCAAGCCGAGACGUAAGGGAGUUCCAGACCCCCGGGGUGCCAGUUACCCCACUAGAAGAUUAUGGCAUAGGGUUUCACACAAGUGUGUUAAAAUCCAUUUAAUCAGUUUCAUUUAGAAAUUUACCCCAGGAGGCUAGCUACCCCCUUGUACCCUACAAUAAAUGGCUUAUUAUUAUUAUUAUUAUUAUUAUUAUUAUUAUUAUUAUUAUUAUUAUUACUGUAGCAUAUUAUAUUAUUCACUUCUAAGGGCGAUCUGAGUAUCUUGCAUUGUUUGCUAUUGGAUUAACUGGUAGUUCAAACGACAAAAUUGAAAAUGUAUCAUUAUGUUGUGUUUUGGUGAUUAAACCAAUGUUCUCAUUACAUUUCGCAAUAAACUUAUAUUUUGAAUCAAUGGUUGUGUGGUGAGAGAUGUUUACAAUCCAAAUUAAUGCAAAAUGACAGGUUUUGAAUGAAAG